GCCCACGCCUCUUGCAUUUGACACGUGUGUCCUAAAGGUACUGGAUUGCCACCUGAUCUUGGAAGCUAAGUGGGGACAGUGCUGGUUAGUAUAUGGAUGGGGAACCGCCAACAAAUACCAAGCGCUGUGGGCA
rnacentral:rRNA from 11 species